rnacentral:rRNA from 1 species
UACAGAGGUCUCGAGCGUUGUUCGGAUUCAUUGGGCGUAAAGGGUGCGUAGGCCGCACGGUAAGUCAGAGGUGAAAUCCCGGAGCUCAACUUCGGAAUUGCCUCCGAUACUGCCGUGCUUGAGGACUGGAGAGGAGAUUGGAAUUCACAGUGGAGCAGUGAAAUGCGUAGAUAUUGUGAGGAACACUAGUGGCGAAGGCGAAUCUCUGGACAGUUCCUGACGCUGAGGCACGAAGGCCAGGGGAGCAAACGGG